rnacentral:rRNA from 1 species
GAUUCUCACUGGGCGUAAAGCGUGCGCAGGCGGUUUUGUAAGACAGAGGUGAAAUCCCCGGGCUCAACCUGGGAACUGCCUUUGUGACUGCAAGGCUGGAGUGCGGCAGAGGGGGAUGGAAUUCCGCGUGUAGCAGUGAAAUGCGUAGAUAUGCGGAGGAACACCGAUGGCGAAGGCAAUCCCCUGGGCCUGCACUGACGCUCAUGCACGAAAGCGUGGGGAGCAAACA